AUUGAACGCUGGCGGCAGGCUUAACACAUGCAAGUCGAGCGGGGGAAGGUAGCUUGCUACCGGACCUAGCGGCGGACGGGUGAGUAAUGCUUAGGAAUCUGCCUAUUAGUGGGGGACAACAUCUCGAAAGGGAUGCUAAUACCGCAUACGUCCUACGGGAGAAAGCAGGGGAUCUUCGGACCUUGCGCUAAUAGAUGAGCCUAAGUCGGAUUAGCUAGUUGGUGGGGUAAAGGCCUACCAAGGCGACGAUCUGUAGCGGGUCUGAGAGGAUGAUCCGCCACACUGGGACUGAGACACGGCCCAGACUCCUACGGGAGGCAGCAGUGGGGAAUAUUGGACAAUGGGGGGAACCCUGAUCCAGCCAUGCCGCGUGUGUGAAGAAGGCCUUAUGGCUGUAAAGCACUUUAAGCGAGGAGGAGGCUACUUUAGUUAAUACCUAGAGAUAGUGGACGUUACUCGCAGAAUAAGCACCGGCUAACUCUGUG
rnacentral:rRNA from 1 species